UGGGCAUGGGCUGGAAACGAAAGCGUGAUUGUCAGUGCCUGGUCACUGAAGUGCCACCUUGGAGGCUGGCUUAGGCACAAGAGCAGCUCUCAGCCUGCUCAAGCACCCAAACAUCCUAUAAAAGGACAAAAUAGGAUUAUGCAAGGCAGAUCAAUCAAUAGUACAACUCCUGUAUUGAAGGAGAUCCCCGUGACUGAUUCUCAGCUGAAAUGACUGCGUGGCUCCAGCUCAGGAAAAGCACUGACAUUCCUGUCUCCCAGACUGCUCCCACCCAUUAUCUAACUGACUGGAAAGGGAGGAGAGUUGAUACUGAUUUCCUGGCUGGGCAAUCACUGAUAUAAAGAUCAAUUAUUCCCUGUAUAGGUAAGGAUAUCUCAGCUUCCCCUCAGAGACAGCUUCCUACAGGACACAUUUGGGAAAGGUGCUGGCAAAAAUCAAGUCUCUGAGUGCCUCUCCCAUGGAAACCAGCACUUGGG